UACGGAGGGUGCGAGCGUUAAUCGGAAUUACUGGGCGUAAAGCGCACGCAGGCGGUUUGUUGAGCUAGAUGUGAAAGCCCCGGGCUCAACCUGGGAUGGUCAUUUAGAACUGGCAGACUAGAGUCUUGGAGAGGGGAGAGGAAUUCCAGGUGUAGCGGUGAAAUGCGUAGAUAUCUGGAGGAACAUCAGUGGCGAAGGCGACUCCCUGGCCAAAGACUGACGCUCGUGUGCGAAAGUGUGGGUAGCGAACAGG
rnacentral:rRNA from 1 species